UGCCAGCUUCAUCUGCUCCCACUCCUUCU
rnacentral:piRNA from 1 species